UUGGAGGCAAGUCUGGUGCCAGCAGCCGCGGUAAUUCCAGCUCCAAUAGCGUAUAUUAAAGUUGUUGAGGUUAAAAAAGCUCGUAGUUGAACCUUGGGCCUAGCCGGCCGGUCCGCCUCACCGCGUGCACUGGCUCGGCUGGGUCUUUCCUUCUGGAGAACCGCAUGCCCUUCACUGGGUGUGCCGGGGAACCAGGACUUUUACUCUGAACAAAUUAGAUCGCUUAAAGAAGGCCUAUGCUCGAAUACAUUAGCAUGGAAUAAUAGAAUA
rnacentral:rRNA from 1 species